UCACCGCGGCUGGACACCGGAGAUAGUGAACUCGGCACCAUCGGCAUUUAAUUUUUACACCGCGGUCCGGAGGAAAUUCAAGUUACGAUUAGCUGCAGCUGAAGCUAACUAUUGCGAACUGAAGGGGUUCGUUAUCGUCGUUGGACCAAGUUAAAUCCGAGUUACGAAGCUUAAUUGGAUUGAACGAUUACAAGUACGAGUAUGCUGCAGCUGAUAAUUCGUACCCUUCGCACACGCACACAGGCGCGUCAUAAAAUUACUCCCGGAUGACCUGAUUCUGAUUGCGGGUGAUAUUGACGAUGGUGAUCGUUCACAUGCUAUGCAAGCCAUAGGCACGAGGACUGUGAUUUGUGGGUGACUAGGUCGGUGAUUGGCGGUUGCACGGUCGAGGGUCGUUUGUAUUGAGCGGGCGAACGUGCGUGCAAGAGGGAAAGCGACGUGGAUCCAGAGGUGGUCGAGGAGGUAUUGUACGUGGCUAUCCUAAUGGGUCUUCACUUUGCGGAAAACCGCCAUGCCGUUGGCUACUCGCGCGUUCACCAAAUUACGGACCGCCUUUACUUUUUAUUUUCAAUCUGAAUUCCAUGGCUCUAACUAAUUUUGGUAAAAAUAAGGUACGUUCUAAAGGCCUACACCCCCAUACCUUCGAGUGAAAAUAUACAUGAAAUAUAUGAAAUGAUUCUUAUCGUAUAUAGGAUCUGCCAUCGCAAUGGUUAUUUAUAUUCAAUUAAGGCUGACUGGUGGCCCUGCAAAACAUCGUCGCAUUUAUUAACUAUACAUAUUCGGGAUCCUUCUACAAGAGCAGUAACAGCAGAGAAGAUCGAUCGCAAUUUAUCGAACCUACCACAUGUAUACCUACGACCGCGUUAUGCUUAUGUGAAUUUUUGAGUUGCCAGAAUUUCAAUUUCAAUGUAUUCGUUUUGAUUCAUACACCACUAAUUUCAAUCGACGUUCUCCAUUUUUAUUUCGCGACUAGUUAAAAGAACGUUCUUUUUUGCCCUGGUACGAAAAUUUUCAUCAAAACAACAGGUGGAGAUAUUUUGAUUCCGAUUUUUCCUCUAAGCUUUCUGAAUUUGCAAUUUGUUGGACCCGCAGCUAAUUAAAAAUAUGCAACAGUAAUUAAUAUUCAAAACUAUAGGUAUAAUCGCUGUUUAUUCGUAUACUCUACGUCCAAUGUAAUCGUUGCUAUAAUUGUCACAAUAAUAUAUCACACUUCCGAUUCGUUAUCAUUUUCGACGCGCUGCACAAUGCAAUUGAAAAGAAUAAAAUUAGGAAAUUAAUAAUCGAAAUUAUAACAGUAAUAAGAAAAACAACAAUAUUGCAUCUACUACCACCCCCAUUUUCGACCUCCUGCGGUUAUGACGUGCUUCAUAUUGUCACACCUAUUAUCAUAAUUAUUAUUCAUGGUUUUUCGUUUUAUAUCAUCCUAAUUAUGAAAACAUGCACUUGAUCUUCUUUUCCGUCUCUAUGCUCUUUCGUUUUUCGACGCACUGCAGCUAUAAUCGUAGACGUUACACCACAGUAAUAGACAAUAUAAUAUUGUGAAUAAAUGUCUUACGUCUUCAUAAUAUAAGAUUAAUAAAUCGAUCAACCGAGGAUAAUAUUACUCAUAUCUGCACGCGUCACUCAUUUAUACCGUACGAUAAAAUGUAUUCCGCCAUAUUUAAUUUACAAUUAGGUACAGGUAGUUAUUAUUACAUACAAUUAAAUUAAUGUGCGUUAGUAAUCUAAUUUUAUAUGUUUCGAUUCAUUAAUUCAUUAUUUAUCAUUUAUUAUCCGUUAUUUAUUAUUUAUUAUUCAUUAUCCAUAUUGAAUUUUGAUCUUUUUCGCAGCUACACCGUACUGCGAUGGCAUUCGCGGACACACUGUAAGGGUAGGAUUCUUCUGAGUUGACGCCGACUACUCCCCAACUCCCUUCUGUUCCCACCUCGCAUCACUUUAUCAGCUAUAGCUGUGGAACCAGUAGGUUGCCACUGGCUAAAGCUUUCAACCGCUAUUAGAAAACGGCAAAGAGGGGGAAAUAUGCACACAUAUACCUGUAUAUUAUCAUAAAGAUGUGCUACCGGAUGUCUCAUUGCACUAUACAUAUGUGUGUAUUUGCAGCCUACCCUGCAAGACCGCAGGUACUUCAACCCCACCUUUCAACAACCAGCACCUACGACUACUUUUAUAAUUGAAUUUGGUAUACUCUUUUUCUAUACCCAGAGAUAUGUAGGUAUCAAUUCGUCUGAGGCACAGCUGAUUAUAGUGUGCAAUUUAAUUCUAACGCCAUCACUGUAACUGUUCUCUAUUUUUGAACUGAAUAAAUUUCAUUUCCAAAAUUUA